rnacentral:lncRNA from 1 species
UCCACGAUACCAUUUCUUUAAGCUGAAUAAUACUAAAUAAUAAUACAUUCGAACUUAAUUUUCAUACAUCAAAGUUUACUUCCCCAGGUACGUGACCUUCAAAUACAUUCCUUACAAUACUUGAAUAGAUACCAAUACAACUAUAACCAUUAACUCAUAAUACACACUUAUUCGAUCAGCUUUCCUUUUUCUUUGUUCGUGCCUGAGCCUUCAGGUUGCUCAUACAUAACUGAAAACAUUUAAUUUAAGCAAGGAUGAGCAUUUGAGUGCCCAGCAAGUAAUAGCAAUUAUAUAUAUAAGCUGAAAGAAUAUAAGUAUUCUCUUUACAUAACACUUCUACAACGAAUCAAAAGUUGUGAAGUAAUCUGUACUGAUAAAAGAUUCACAUAACAACUCUCUUUCAAUUUCUUGAAAUUAGGCUCCACCCAUGAAUAGGGUUUAAGAAACAUACUAUGAACAUUGUUUUUCAUUUUCGAAAAGGUUUAGCAGAAAUUCAUCCGCAAACCGUCAUAACUUACGGGCACGGAGGGUGAUCAGCCCCGUUGUACCCUGUAUUGAUCAAUACUACAUAACUUGAACGAAAUUCAUCGCUCACUCUAUCCGCCUUGGGCGCAAAAAUCUUCCCAUAUAGGGAUGUUCAUACAUGCCUGGUUCCAAACCCGAAGGUUUUUAAUCUUGCUCAACAAUAAUAUGUAAUUCAACAUAUAUGUAUACGGGUAAUUGACAAAGGUAUAUCAACAUGUGAAUAAAUGCCAUGAUUAUCCAAGUGGGGACACUUGUAUAACCAUUUAGAAAUCAACUUAACAGAAUAUAUAUCUGAGCUAACAUGUUGAUAAUCAAAGCGUACAUAAUCUGUACAGGAAUAGAAUAAUUCUGAAACUUCUUACUCAUGUCCAUUGCAUAAAGGAAAUGCAAAGGUAAGAUACUUGCCUGAUUCGCUGAUUACAAAUCUCAACUUAGGUUUUAUCUCUUUA